GACGAACGCUGGCGGCGCGCCUAACACAUGCAAGUCGAACGAGAGAUGAAGAGCUUGCUCUUCAAAUCGAGUGGCGAACGGGUGAGUAGCGCGUGAGGAACCUGCCUCAAAGAGGGGGACAACAGUUGGAAACGACUGCUAAUACCGCAUAAGCCCACGGCUCGGCAUCGAGCAGAGGGAAAAGGAGCAAUCCGCUUUGAGAUGGCCUCGCGUCCGAUUAGCUAGUUGGUGAGGUAACGGCCCACCAAGGCGACGAUCGGUAGCCGGACUGAGAGGUUGAACGGCCACAUUGGGACUGAGACACGGUCCAGACUCCUACGGGAGGCAGCAGUGGGGAACUNUUCCGCAAUGGGCGAAAGCCUGACGGAGCAACGCCGCGUGAGUGAUG
rnacentral:rRNA from 1 species